CCUACGGGAGGCAGCAGUGAGGAAUAUUGGACAAUGGGCGCAAGCCUGAUCCAGCCAUGCCGCGUGCAGGAAGAAGCAUCUAUGGUGUGUAAACUGCUUUUGUACAGGAAGAAACACUCCCUCGUGAGGGAGCUUGACGGUACUGUAAGAAUAAGGACCGGCUAACUCCGUGCCAGCAGCCGCGGUAAUACGGAGGGUCCGAGCGUUAUCCGGAAUCAUUGGGUUUAAAGGUCCGUAGGCGGUUUAAUAAGUCAGUGGUGAAAUCUGGUCGCUCAACGAUCAAACGGCCAUUGAUACUGUUAGACUUGAAUUAUAAGGAAGUAACUAGAAUAUGUAGUGUAGCGGUGAAAUGCUUAGAUAUUACAUGGAAUACCAAUUGCGAAGGCAGGUUACUACUUAUGGAUUGACGCUGAUGGACGAAAGCGUGGGGAGCGAACAGGAUUAGAUACCCUGGUAGUCCACGCCGUAAACGAUGGAUACUAGUCUGUCGGUAGCAUACUGUAGUGUCGUAGACGAAGUAGAGUAAGUA
rnacentral:rRNA from 1 species